rnacentral:tmRNA from 1 species
GGGGGCGAUCGGUUUCGACGGGGAUCAAGGGUAAAGGAAAGCAGGCCGAGGUACCCAGUAACCUCGUUAAUCCAUUGGGAACAAAUCUAAAUGCAAACGAAUACUCGUAUGCAUUGGCUGCCUAAUAAAAGGUAGCUCGUCUUACCUGAGCCUGCCUGUUGGUUUGGGCUAAGGCGUCGAGAAAAACAGGAUAGCCUUCUUCUAUCUCCUGGGGGAAGAGGGCGAAACAAAACCGGGAUAGUUCUGGGUUAGACCUGCUUGUCGGUCUUUCCUGGAGCGAAAGUCCCUCCUGCCAAAAGCGGGAAGGAAAAAAGACUAAGCUAAGCCUGUAGAAGUCCUUUAGUUCUUAUCUUCGGACGUGGGUUCGAUUCCCACCGCCUCCAGUU